rnacentral:rRNA from 1 species
CCUACGGGAGGCAGCAGUGGGGAAUAUUGGGCAAUGGGCGCAAGCCUGACCCAGCAACGCCGCGUGAAGGAAGAAGGCUUUCGGGUUGUAAACUUCUUUUCUCAGGGACGAAGAAAGUGACGGUACCUGCGGAAUAAGCCACGGCUAACGACGUGCCAGCAGCCGCGGUACUACGUAGGUGGCAAGCGUUAUGCGGAUUUACUGGGUGUAAAGGGCGUGUAGGCGGGGAAGCAAGUCAGAUGUGAAAACCACGGGCUCAACCUGUGGCCUGCAUUUGAAACUGGUUUUCUUGAGUACUGGAGAGGCAGACGGAAUUCCUGGUGUAGCGGUGAAAUGCGUAGAUAUUAGGAGGAACACCAGUGGCGAAGGCGGUCUGCUGGACAGCAACUGACGCUGAGGCGCGAAAGCGUGGGGAGCAAACAGGAUUAGAUACCCUUGUAGUC